rnacentral:rRNA from 1 species
GGUUAAGCGACUAAGCGUACACGGUGGAUGCCCUGGCAGUCAGAGGCGAUGAAGGACGUGCUAAUCUGCGAAAAGCGUCGGUAAGGUGAUAUGAACCGUUAUAACCGGCGAUGUCCGAAUGGGGAAACCCAGUGCAAUUCGUUGCACUAUCGUUAACUGAAUACAUAGGUUAACGAGGCGAACCGGGGGAACUGAAACAUCUAAGUACCCCGAGGAAAAGAAAUCAACCGAGAUUCCCCCAGUAGCGGCGAGCGAACGGGGAGCAGCCCAGAGUCUGAAUCAGCUUGUGUGUUAGUGGAACGGUCUGGAAAGUCCGACGGUACAGGGUGAUAGUCCCGUACACCAAAAUGCACAGGCUGUGAACUCGAAGAGUAGGGCGGGACACGUGGUAUCCUGUCUGAAUAUGGGGGGACCAUCCUCCAAGGCUAAAUACUCCUGACUGACCGAUAGUGAACCAGUACCGUGAGGGAAAGGCGAAAAGAACCCCGGCGAGGGGAGUGAAAAAGAACCUGAAACCGUGUACGUACAAGCAGUGGGAGCACCUUCGGGUGUGACUGCGUACCUUUUGUAUAAUGGGUCAGCGACUUAUAUUCUGUAGCAAGGUUAACCGUAUAGGGGAGCCGCAGGGAAACCGAGUCUUAACUGGGCGUUAAGUUGCAGGGUAUAGACCCGAAACCCGGUGAUCUAGCCAUGGGCAGGUUGAAGGUUGGGUAACACUAACUGGAGGACCGAACCGACUAAUGUUGAAAAAUUAGCGGAUGACUUGUGGCUGGGGGUGAAAGGCCAAUCAAACCGGGAGAUAGCUGGUUCUCCCCGAAAGCUAUUUAGGUAGCGCCUCGUGAAUUCAUCUUCGGGGUAGAGCACUGUUUCGGCUAGGGGGUCAUCCCGACUUACCAACCCGAUGCAAACUACGAAUACCGAAGAAUGUUAUCACGGGAGACACACGGCGGGUGCUAACGUCCGUCGUGAAGAGGGAAACAACCCAGACCGCCAGCUAAGGUCCCAAAGUCAUGGUUAAGUGGGAAACGAUGUGGGAAGGCACAGACAGCCAGGAUGUUGGCUUAGAAGCAGCCAUCAUUUAAAGAAAGCGUAAUAGCUCACUGGUCGAGUCGGCCUGCGCGGAAGAUGUAACGGGGCUAAACCAUGCACCGAAGCUGCGGCAGCGACACUAUGUGUUGUUGGGUAGGGGAGCGUUCUGUAAGCCUGCGAAGGUGUGCUGUGAGGCAUGCUGGAGGUAUCAGAAGUGCGAAUGCUGACAUAAGUAACGAUAAAGCGGGUGAAAAGCCCGCUCGCCGGAAGACCAAGGGUUCCUGUCCAACGUUAAUCGGGGCAGGGUGAGUCGGCCCCUAAGGCGAGGCCGAAAGGCGUAGUCGAUGGGAAACAGGUUAAUAUUCCUGUACUUGGUGUUACUGCGAAGGGGGGACGGAGAAGGCUAUGUUAGCCGGGCGACGGUUGUCCCGGUUUAAGCAUGUAGGCUGGUUGUCCAGGCAAAUCCGGAUAAUCAAGGCUGAGGUGUGAUGACGAGGCACUACGGUGCUGAAGUAACAAAUGCCCUGCUUCCAGGAAAAGCCUCUAAGCAUCAGGUAACAUCAAAUCGUACCCCAAACCGACACAGGUGGUCAGGUAGAGAAUACCAAGGCGCUUGAGAGAACUCGGGUGAAGGAACUAGGCAAAAUGGUGCCGUAACUUCGGGAGAAGGCACGCUGGUGUGUAGGUGAAGUCCCUGCGGAUGGAGCUGAGACCAGUCGAAGAUACCAGCUGGCUGCAACUGUUUAUUAAAAACACAGCACUGUGCAAACACGAAAGUGGACGUAUACGGUGUGACGCCUGCCCGGUGCCGGAAGGUUAAUUGAUGGGGUUAUCCGUAAGGAGAAGCUCUUGAUCGAAGCCCCGGUAAACGGCGGCCGUAACUAUAACGGUCCUAAGGUAGCGAAAUUCCUUGUCGGGUAAGUUCCGACCUGCACGAAUGGCGUAAUGAUGGCCAGGCUGUCUCCACCCGAGACUCAGUGAAAUUGAACUCGCUGUGAAGAUGCAGUGUACCCGCGGCAAGACGGAAAGACCCCGUGAACCUUUACUAUAGCUUGACACUGAACAUUGAGCCUUGAUGUGUAGGAUAGGUGGGAGGCUUUGAAGCGUGGACGCCAGUCUGCGUGGAGCCAACCUUGAAAUACCACCCUUUAAUGUUUGAUGUUCUAACGUUGGCCCCUUACCGGGGUUGCGGACAGUGUCUGGUGGGUAGUUUGACUGGGGCGGUCUCCUCCCAAAGCGUAACGGAGGAGCACGAAGGUUAGCUAAUCCUGGUCGGACAUCAGGAGGUUAGUGCAAUGGCAUAAGCUAGCUUGACUGCGAGCGUGACGGCGCGAGCAGGUGCGAAAGCAGGUCAUAGUGAUCCGGUGGUUCUGAAUGGAAGGGCCAUCGCUCAACGGAUAAAAGGUACUCCGGGGAUAACAGGCUGAUACCGCCCAAGAGUUCAUAUCGACGGCGGUGUUUGGCACCUCGAUGUCGGCUCAUCACAUCCUGGGGCUGAAGUAGGUCCCAAGGGUAUGGCUGUUCGCCAUUUAAAGUGGUACGCGAGCUGGGUUUAGAACGUCGUGAGACAGUUCGGUCCCUAUCUGCCGUGGGCGCUGGAGAAUUGAGGGGGGCUGCUCCUAGUACGAGAGGACCGGAGUGGACGCAUCACUGGUGUUCGGGUUGUCAUGCCAAUGGCACUGCCCGGUAGCUAAAUGCGGAAGAGAUAAGUGCUGAAAGCAUCUAAGCACGAAACUUGCCCCGAGAUGAGUUCUCCCUGAGACUUUAAGUCUCCUGAAGGAACGUUGAAGACGACGACGUUGAUAGGCCGGGUGUGUAAGCGCAGCGAUGCGUUGAGCUAACCGGUACUAAUGAACCGUGAGGCUUAACCUU